CUAGUGUAGGUAGUAUUCUGCAAUAAGCUGCCGUGGUUUGUGUCUGAACUACUUGAAAAAGAUAUCUCAAACGUUGUGGUCUACUGUAGGUAGUAUUCUGCAAUAAGCUGUAGUGGUUUGUGUCUGAACUACCUGAAAAAGACCUCAAUCUCAAACUUGGGGUCCAAUGACGUCCACUGAAAUGACGUCACAGUCAUAUAAUCAUAGAGUACUAUUGUACUAGCUUAAUACAUAAAUACAUACAGAGGUCUCACUUCUGCCGGAGAGUCUCAACCUCGUACCCAGGCUCUUUCCACUGUACGAGGUUGAGAGUCUCACUUAGGCCAUUUAUUUCGUCUGCAAAUAUUUAGUCUAUGGAAACAACAGUAAUAAGGGCCCACAGUAAUUGGUUUUAAGCUGUUGUGGUGUCCGCCUUGUUGUUGUCACCUUUUUAUCCAACCUUUCACCCCCCUGGAACAUUAAGUUUCAAUAUGUUUUCAGGGGGUGACCACCUUUCUUUCAG